rnacentral:rRNA from 1 species
GACGAACGCUGGCGGCGUGCUUAACACAUGCAAGUCGAACGGUGAUGGCCAGCUUGCUGGUCUGAUCAGUGGCGAACGGGUGAGUAACACGUGAGCAACCUGCCCUUCACUCUGGGAUAACCACGGGAAACGGUGGCUAAUACCGGAUAUGAAACACACACGCAUGUGUAGUGUUUGGAAAGAUUUAUCGGUGGGGGAUGGGCUCGCGGCCUAUCAGCUUGUUGGUGGGGUAGUGGCCUACCAAGGCGACGACGGGUAGCCGGCCUGAGAGGGCGACCGGCCACACUGGGACUGAGACACGGCCCAGACUCCUACGGGAGGCAGCAGUGGGGAAUAUUGCACAAUGGGCGCAAGCCUGAUGCAGCGACGCCGCGUGAGGGAUGACGGCCUUCGGGUUGUAAACCUCUUUCAGCAGGGAAGAAGCGCAAGUGACGGUACCUGCAGAAGAAGCGCCGGCUAACUACGUGCCAGCCGCCGCCGUAACAC